CAAGCAAACAAGAGCAUCGGGUGGAUGCCUUGGCGACGGAAGGCGAUGAAAGACGCGGUAAGCUGCGAUAAGCCUCGGGGAGAAGCUAAACAUUCUUUGAUCCGUGGAUGUCUGAAUGGGGAAACCCGGCGGGAGUCAUGUCCCGUCAUCUGCAAGUGAAUACAUAGCUUGCAAGAAGCCAACUCAGGGAAGUGAAACAUCUCAGUACCUGAAGGAAAGGAAAUCAAACGAGACUCCCUCAGUAGCGGCGAGCGAAGGGGGAAUAGCCCAAACCGUCAGGAUUCGUCCUGUCGGGGUUGUAGGGCCGGCAUACGUGAUUCAUGACUAGGCAGGGGAAGGAAGCUGGAAAGCUUCGCCAGAGCGGGUGACAGCCCCGUACCCGAACCCGAAAGUGACACAGCCGGUACCUGAGUACCGCGAGGCACGUGAAACCUCGUGGGAAUCUGGGAGGACCAUCUUCCAAGGCUAAGUACUAACCGUCGACCGAUAGUGCACCAGUACCGUGAGGGAAAGGUGAAAAGAACCCCUGUCAGGGGAGUGAAAUAGAAUCUGAAACCUGAUGCUUACAAGCUGUGGGAGCCUCCUUGAGGGGUGACCACGUGCCUUUUGCAUAAUGAGUCAGCGAGUUAAUCUGUACUGCAAGGUUAAGCGUAAGUGGAGCCGUAGCGAAAGCGAGUCUGAUAAGGGCGUUUAGUAGUGCGGAUUAGACCCGAAACCGGGUGAUCUAUCCAUGAGCAGGUUGAAGCAAGGGUAAAGCCUUGUGGAGGACCGAACCCUUAACGGCUGAAAACGUUUGGGAUGACUUGUGGAUAGGGGUGAAAGGCCAAUCAAACCCGGUGAUAGCUGGUUCUCCCCGAAAUAUAUUGAGGUAUAGCCUCAUGGAUUGUCUACCGGAGGUAAAGCACUGACAGAGCUAGGGGUCCUACCAGAUUACCAAACUCUUUCAAACUCAGAAUGCCGGCUAGAUGUACCAUGGGAGUCAGACAGUGGGUGCUAAGGUCCAUUGUCGAGAGGGUAAGAGCCCAGAUCAACAGCUAAGGUCUCCAAAUCUAUGCUCAGUGGUUAAGGUGGUGACGUUGUAGAGACACCCAGGACGUUGGCUUAGAAGCAGCCAUCGUUUAAAGAAAGCGUAAUAGCUCACUGGUCUAAUGACGUUGCGCCGAAAAUGUAACGGGGCUAAGCAUAGUACCGAAGCUUUGAAUUCCGCGUAUGCGGUCUGGUAGGGGAGCGUUCUUCACGGGCAGAAGGGGUGUCGUAAGGCUACCUGGACUGUGGAGAAGUGAUUAUGCUGACAUGAGUAACGAUAAAACGGGUGAAAAACCCGUUCGCCGUAAACCCAAGGUUUCCUGGGUAAAGGUAAUCUUCCCAGGGUUAGUCGGUCCCUAAGGCGAGGCUGAAAGGCGUAGUCGAUGGGAAAC
rnacentral:rRNA from 1 species